rnacentral:rRNA from 1 species
GAACGUAAGAUGACUGUAGGUGAAAGCGUUACAUCUCUUCGGAGCAUUUUACGAGGUGCUGCAUGGUUGUCGUCAGCUCGUGCCGUGAGGUGUCGGGUUAAGUCCCAUAACGAGCGCAACCCCUACCUUUAGUUGCCAUCAGGUAAUGCUGGGGACUCUAAAGGAACUGCCUACGCAAGUAGUGAGGAAGGCGGGGAUGACGUCAAAUCAGCACGGCCCUUACGUCCAGGGCUACACACGUGCUACAAUGGCCGAUACAGAGGGCAGCUACCUGGUGACAGGAUGCAAAUCUCCAAAGUCGGUCUCAGUUCGGAUCGGAGUCUGCAACCCGACUCCGUGAAGUUGGAUUCGCUAGUAAUCGCGCAUCAGCCAUGGCGCGGUGAAUACGUUCCCGGGCCUU